GAGACACUCUUAUGGGGCAAGAUUUGCUUCAGUGGGGCUUUGGUGCUCACUGAGUCUGCCCCCUGAGUGUGUCCCU
rfam:Myotis lucifugus cont2.37401, whole genome shotgun sequence.